rnacentral:tmRNA from 1 species
GGGGGCGUAAAGGUUUCGACGGGGAUUGUGAUGCAGAGUAAGCGAGUAGCGGUGCGGGACCGCUAUAAAAUCCGCAACCUAAAAAAUAAACGACAACAAUUCUGUUGCUCUCGCGGCCUAAUUAGGCUGCCGUCUUUACCCGGAGUACCGCGGCUGGGAUAAAGGCGUCGACUAGCGGUGCACGUGAACAGGGGCUUGCCGCUGCCUCUGUCAUGACGGGGCGGCUACCGUAGCGCAAAGCCUGCCGACCGGCGUUGCGUGAGGGGAAUCUUAAUUGACCGGCUGCACUCGGAGAAAGCACUGUGGAUCGGUUUUCGGACAGGGGUUCGACUCCCCUCGCCUCCACCA